ACAGACAUAUAUGUAUUUAUUCAUACAAAUAUAUAUAAUAUAAUAUAAUAUAAUAUAAUAUAAUAUACGUAUAUAACAAUUGCAUAUUACCUGGUAUUGUUUUUGUCUGUCUGUACAAGUUUAAUCAGUCUUCAAAAUGCACGUCAUCGAUAAGAAAGUGUUUAAAACAUACAAAACGGAGAGAAAAGUCAGGCCGAGGAACAGCUCGUACAGCAGAUUCGCUUCACAGCAUCGUCUGGUUCCUGCGACACGGUUUUCCUGCACCCCGAUCUCUCACAGGUUCACGAAUAAACCGAAUAAAAACCAAACGAAACGAGUUAUUCGAAUUAUUCCGAUUUGGACCAGGCUUCGUGAGUCACUUGACUACAGAGUCGAUUCUUUUGAACGAAUUUUUAAAACGAGCGUUUUGAUCCGUUUGAUUGUGAAUUUAAAACCUGGAAACAACUCCAACCGCAGGGACACUUCGAUUUUUUGGAAUAAGAAUAAGCCGUGGAAGUAAAACGACUCCUUUGCGAAUUGAUUCGAUUCAUUUGAUUCACUUUAGAGGGACGAUUCAGUUAAAAAUUACAGCAACGCAAUCACCUUCGCGUCCGUGCGAGUUCGAUGUUUGCUUCUUUAGUUAUGAAGUUAAAAUAAGUAACAGAACUAACCGAAGUUAAUCAAAAUCUCUCUCUCUCUCUCUCUCUCUCUCACACACACACACACACACACACACACACUAAUUUUCAUAUACUUGCUCGAGAUGACAUUAAGCUCAGUGACAUUUUAUUUUUAAGAGCAUAAUAGCAUCAUAAGAGCAUAAUUUUAAGGGCAUAAUGUUAACAUCUGUAACUUUUCAGUUAGUAUCUGUACACAUUUUGAAGCCUUGAGUGAUGAAAAUCAACUGCAGGAUUAGCAUGAACUCGACUCCAGCACUCGCGGCUAACUGGCUAACUAGCGAGAAGUAACAUUAGCCUAAUCUUUAUGUAGCAGAGCAAAAUUAGGUAACUUCAUAUCAGCUACAAAUAUACUUAUGUAAGAAUUGAAUUUCAUUCAAACAUUUCCUUCCCAAGAAAGCUCAUUUGUCUUACUGAUUAAAAGAAGCUAACUUCAGCCACUCAUACAACGUCAGUUAGCAUAAAUUUCAUCAUCAGGCUAGCACUGGCUAUCAAGCCAGACCACAUGUAUUAUAGAUGAAGUUAAACUCUUGUAGUUGCGUCCGAUUUCUUUCACUUCAAACUUUUUCUGCCUGCUGAUACGCCUCACUACGUCAACUUGGCUCACCCACAAGCUAAACCCAGCAACUGAGCUGUUACAGAUGACGUUAGCUAACGUUAGCGUCGUAACUCUAACACAAAACCAAAGAAGCUCGGCUUGUCUCGGCUAAUCGGUUAGAAAACGUUGCACGCGCUUGAUUUUUCACUGAACUGUUCCUUUAAAGAGUCGUUUAAAGAGUCAUUUAAAGAGUCGAUUCCUUCAUAAAUUGUGUGUCAAUCUCAGUGAAUGAAUGAUUGUCAGUAGUGGAGAAGAUUACGGCCGGUUUUGAUCGGACGAGACGCUCGGUUUCGGAAUAUACAAUAAAAUCGAACGGGAUUACAUUCGGGAAAACUCUUCAAGAUCACAAACUAGAAAAUUUGCAAAUAAUAAAAUAGCGUUAUGUUACAUGACCACCACUUUAUAUAACUUUAUUCAUUUAUUUCAUAUAUCUUCUGUGUGUGUACGACAUUCAUAUGCUCAUAAAUAUCAACGUUUUUGUAGAACUGUAACAUCGCGUCGUGAACAAAUCUGUAAAUGUAGCUAAUCACACUCCGUCAACUUCAGCAAAUUCGCGUCGAUAUUUAAACUAUAUUCCUCUGUAAAUCAGGUUCAUUUUAUGUUUCACGUAGAGCCAAAAUGCUACCUAACAAAGCACAACGCUAGCAAUCAAGCCAGCAGUCAUGCUAAACUGCUAACCUUCCUGCUCUGCAGGCUAACAUUUGUUGUUAACAAUAGAAGCAUUUUUGUCCCAACUAUUUUUCUUCUUCUCGCGUUACGUGCCAUUAACAGUACCUUUAAGUUUGUACAGAAUGUCCAUGACUGCUAACACGGCUAACAUUAAAAUGUUAACUAGCAAAAGAGUGGGAAAGCAUGUAGCUAGUUAGCAGAAAUGCUAGAAGUAAUGCUAAAUGUUCUGCUAGCUUGUUUUUAUGUUAGGUAACAAAAAAAAAUAUUAUAUAUUUCCUCCAGACUGUGAUUAUGUCGAUGAACUGUUAUGUAUUUGUACAAAAUGUCCAUAAAUGCUAACACAUCUGGGCUAAAGCUAGUAUUCAUCCUUGCAGUUAUUUUUCAUGCUCUGCUAGCUUUUGGUUGUUUGUUUUUCUGUUAGCGAAAGUAGCAUUUUUGUCCCAACUGUGCCAUGUACCUUUAUUUUAUUUGCACAGAAUGUUCAGAAAUGCUAAAAUAAUGAACUAGCGUAAAGUGUGAAAGCGUACAGUUAGCUAGCAGUUAUCGUCUGCUGGCUUGUUUUCAUGAGCUAUUUUAGCAUUUUUGCUCCAUACUGUAACGUUA
ensembl:lncRNA